rnacentral:rRNA from 1 species
CCUACGGGAGGCAGCAGUGAGGAAUAUUGGUCAAUGGGCGCAAGCCUGAACCAGCCAAGCAGCGUGAAGGAUGACUGCCCUACGGGUUGUAAACUUCUUUUAUAAAGGACUAAAGUGAGGCACGUGUGCCUUUUUGAAUGUACUUUAUGAAUAAGGAUCGGCUAACUCCGUGCCAGCAGCCGCGGUAAUACGGAGGAUCCGAGCGUUAUCCGGAGUUAUUGGGUUUAAAGGGAGCGUAGAUGGGUUGAUAAGUCAGAUGUGAAAGUUUGCGGCUCAAACUUAAAAUUGCAAUUGAUACUGUUAGGCUAGAGUACAGUUGAGGUAGGCGGAAUGUGUGGUGUAGCGGUGAAAUGCUUAGAGAUCACGAAGAACACCGAUUGCGAAGGCAGCUUACUAAACUGCCACUGACAUUGAGGCUCGAAAGCGUGGGGAGCAAACAGGAUUAGAUACCCGAGUAGUC